UAAGGAAUAUUGGACAAUGGAGGCAACUCUGAUCCAGCCAUGCCGCGUGAAGGAAUAAGGCCCUAUGGGUUGUAAACUCCUUUUAGACGGGGCAAAACCCCUUUACGUGUAAAGGGUUGAUGGUACUGUCAGAAUAAGCAUCGGCUAACUUCGUGCCAGCAGCCGCGGUAAUACGAAGGAUGCAAGCGUUAUCCGGAAUUAUUGGGUUUAAAGGGUGCGUAGGCGGACUAAUAAGUCAGUGGUGAAAGCCUGCAGCUUAACUGCAGAAUUGCCAUUGAUACUGUUAGUCUUGAGUACAGUUGAGGUAGGCGGAAUGUGUCAUGUAGCGGUGAAAUGCUUAGAUAUGACACAGAACACCGAUUGCGAAGGCAGCUUGCUAAGCUGCAACUGACGCUGAGGCACGAAAGCGUGGGGAGCAAACA
rnacentral:rRNA from 1 species